GGGACAAAAAUGAAGGUUAUUGAAAAGAAUCAUGCUUGGUGGAAGAAGUAAUUACAUUUUUUUUCAAAUGUCAGAGGAAUAAUGCUUUUAUAUUUCCUGAGGUGACCCAAUUUGCACUACGAUAUGCUCCCUUAAAUGAGAAAAGCAACGAUAGCCCAUAGAUGAUCUGAAAACAGAAUGAAUUGGAACACUUGUGCUUGAAAG
rnacentral:lncRNA from 1 species